rnacentral:rRNA from 1 species
AACGAACGCUGGCGGCAUGCCUAACACAUGCAAGUCGAACGAGACCUUCGGGUCUAGUGGCGCACGGGUGCGUAACGCGUGGGAAUCUGCCCUUGGGUUCGGAAUAACAGUUGGAAACGACUGCUAAUACCGGAUGAUGACGUAAGUCCAAAGAUUUAUCGCCCAGGGUUGAGCACGCGUAGGAUUAGCUCGUUGGUGGGGUAAAGGCCUACCAAGGCGACGAUCCUUAGCUGGUCUGAGAGGAUGAUCAGCCACACUGGGACUGGGACACGGCCCAGACUCCUACGGGAGGCAGCAGUGGGGAAUAUUGGACAAUGGGCGGAAGCCUGAUCCAGCAAUGCCGGGUGAGUGAUGAAGGCCUUAGGGUUGUAAAGCUCUUUUACCCGGGAUGAUAAUGACAGUACCGGGAGAAUAAGCCCCGGCUAACUCCGUG